GAGUUUGAUCGUGGCUCAGGAUGAACGCUGACGGCGUGCCUAACACAUGCAAGUCGAACGAAGCAAUCGGGAUGAAGUUUUCGGAUGGAUUCCUGGUUGACUGAGUGGCGGACGGGUGAGUAACGCGUGGAUAACCUGCCUCACACUGGGGGAUAACAGUUAGAAAUGGCUGCUAAUACCGCAUAAGCGCACAGUACCGCAUGGUACGGUGUGAAAAACCCAGGUGGUGUGAGAUGGAUCGCGUCUGAUUAGCCAGUUGGCGGGUAACGGCCCACCAAAGCGACGAUCAGUAGCCGACCUGAGAGGGUGACCGGCACAUUGGGACUGAGACACGG
rnacentral:rRNA from 1 species